rnacentral:rRNA from 1 species
AAACCUUGACCUCAAAUCGGGUGAGACUACUGGCUGAAUUAA